rnacentral:rRNA from 1 species
GAAUUUUGAGUGCGGCUGCCUUCGGGCGCCCAACCUCCCACCCGUGACUACCUAACACUGUUGCUUCGGCGGGGAGCCCUCUCGGGGGCGAGCCGCCGGGGACUACUGAACUUCAUGCCUGAGAGUGAUGCAGUCUGAGUCUGAAUAUAAAAUCAGUCAAAACUUUCAACAAUGGAUCUCUUGGUUCCGGCAUCGAUGAAGAACGCAGCGAACUGCGAUAAGUAAUGUGAAUUGCAGAAUUCAGUGAAUCAUCGAGUCUUUGAACGCACAUUGCGCCCCCUGGCAUUCCGGGGGGCAUGCCUGUCCGAGCGUCAUUGCUGCCCAUCAAGCCCGGCUUGUGUGUUGGGUCGUCGUCCCCCCCGGGGGACGGGCCCGAAAGGCAGCGGCGGCACCGUGUCCGGUCCUCGAGCGUAUGGGGCUUUGUCACCCGCUCGAUUUAGGGCCGGCCGGGCGCCAGCCGACGUCCAACCAUUUUUCUUCAGGUUGACCUCGGAUCAGGUAGGGAUACCCGCUGAACUUAAGCAUAUCAACGGGGGAAGAAAAAACAUUACUGAGUGCGGGCUGCCUUCGGGCGCCCAACCUCCACCGUGACUACUAACACUGUUGCUUGGGGGGAGCCUCUGGGGGCGAGCGCGGGACUACUGAACUUCAUGCUGAGAGUGAUGCAUCUGAGUCUGAAUAUAAAAUCAGUCAAACUUUCACAAUGGAUCUCUUGGUUCCGCAUCGAUGAAGAACGCAGCGACUGCGAUAAGUAAUGUGAAUGCAGAAUCAGUGAUCAUCAGUCUUUGACGCACAUGCGCCCCUGCAUCGGGGGCAUGCUGUCAGCUCAUUGCUGCCAUCAGCCGCUUGUGUGUUGGUCUCCUCCCCAGGGACGUGAUGCACCGCGACUGUCGUCUCACGUGGCUUGACCCUCAUAGCGCGGCAGCAUCACUUUCUGGUACGAGUGUCCUACUAGC